rnacentral:tRNA from 1 species
UUCUAUAUGGCCGAACUGGUAAAGGCAUUGCCGAUCACAGGCAAGGUUGCGGGUUCGAGUCCCGCUGGAAC